GUGCAGCAGGCGAGAAACCUUCGCAAUGCGGGAAACCGCGACGAGGGGACUCCCAGUGCCUACGCUCAGCGUAGGCUGUUCCCGAGCCUAGAAAGCUCGGGGAGUAAGGGCUGGGUAAGACGGGUGCCAGCCGCCGCGGUAAUACCGCAGCCCGAGUGGUGGCCACUAUUAUUGGGCCUAAAGCGUCCGUAGCCGGCCCGGUAAAUGCCUGGGUAAAUCGUGAGGCCUAACCUCACGAAUUCCGGGUAGACUGCGGGGCUAGGGACCGGAGGAGGGAGAGGGGUACUCCAGGGGUAGGGGUGAAAUCCUGUAAUCCCUGGAGGACCACCGGUGGCGAAGGCGCUCUCCUAGGACGGGUCCGACGGUGAGGGACGAAAGCCAGGGGAGCGAACCGGAUUAGAUACCCGUGUAGU
rnacentral:rRNA from 1 species